rnacentral:rRNA from 1 species
UGGGGAAUUUUGCGCAAUGGGCGAAAGCCUGACGCAGCAACGCCGCGUGGGUGAUGAAGGUCUUCGGAUCGUAAAACCCUGUCGUCAGGGACGAAGGUUGCAUGUCUAAUAGAUGUGCAGCUUGACGGUACCUGGAGAGGAAGCCCCGGCUAACUCUGUGCCAGCAGCCGCGGUAAUACAGAGGGGGCAAGCGUUAUUCGGAAUUAUUGGGCGUAAAGGGCGCGUAGGCGGUGUCUUAAGUGAGAUGUGUAAUCCCCGAGCUUAACUUGGGAACUGCAUCUCAGACUGGGGCGCUAGAGUGCUGGAGAGGGUGGUGGAAUUCCACGUGUAGCGGUGAAAUGCGUAGAGAUGUGGAGGAACACCAGUGGCGAAGGCGGCCACCUGGACAGUAACUGACGCUGAGGCGCGAAAGUGUGGGGAGCAAACA